rnacentral:rRNA from 2 species
UUUGUAUAAUGGGUCAGCGACUUAUAUUCAGUGGCAAGGUUAACCAUCUAGGGGAGCCGUAGGGAAACCGAGUCUUAACUGGGCGUUCAGUCUCUGGAUAUAGACCCGAAACCAGGUGAUCUAGCCAUGGGCAGGUUGAAGGUUGAGUAACAUCAACUGGAGGACCGAACCGACUAAUGUUGAAAAAUUAGCGGAUGACUUGUGGCUAGGGGUGAAAGGCCAAUCAAACCUGGAGAUAGCUGGUUCUCCCCGAAAGCUAUUUAGGUAGCGCCUCGGACGAAUACUACUGGGGGUAGAGCACUGUUAAGGCUAGGGGGUCAUCCCGACUUACCAACCCUUUGCAAACUCCGAAUACCAGUAAGUACUAUCCGGGAGACACACGGCGGGUGCUAACGUCCGUCGUGGAGAGGGAAACAACCCAGACCGCCAGCUAAGGUCCCAAAUUACUACUAAGUGGGAAACGAUGUGGGAAGGCUCAGACAGCCAGGAUGUUGGCUUAGAAGCAGCCAUCAUUUAAAGAAAGCGUAAUAGCUCACUGGUCGAGUCGGCCUGCGCGGAAGAUGUAACGGGGCUAAGUAGUAAACCG